CAGAUUACAGCUGAAUAACAUGUUAUUCGAAGGUGUUACUUCUGAAUAACAAAACCGUUCGCACUAGCAUUUUAGGUAAUACUAUUUGACAGCUGACAGCAUGUGUCAAGCGCCAAAUUUUUUCGAGCAGUUUGUUGUUUGUUUACAAAUAUGCAGCGAGAUUCUUCAAAUUAGAAUUCAAUUAUUAUUAAACAAUUAAUCUGUUUGCGAUUAAAGAACUGUUCCGCGGUAAUGAGAUUUAUUAAUUUGCUAUUUUCUUCGUAAUUGCAAGAAGCGGACCAAACUCCGAAGGCGUAAGUUCAGUAUGGGAUGAAACUGAUAGUGAUUAGUGUGCGCUAAAAAGCCAGAAGUAUUUGUGUGCUUCGUUUAAAUUUUAUUUUGCUCAUUUUUCCUUCGGAAAUCGGCUAGGAACUGUGGUUACAAGUAGGUUUCGUCACCGGUGAACGGGAUGUGAAGUCGAGGAUUCCAUAAAUAUUACACAGGCAGAAAGCAUCAAUGGAGCCUGGAAGGUCAAGAUGGAUCAGAAAUAAUACAAUGUUUAGCAGCUGCAAGACGAGCCAACGUGAAUUCAAGUUAAACAAAAUUGUAUCGCCAAAACAGUGUGACAAUGGAAUUCAUGGAACAACUUCAGCGUGAGAAAACAGGAUUCCUGUAACCCGAACUAACUCGCGAACUACGGUGAAAAUUCCAAAAAUAUUCAGUGCUAUCGUUUGGAGCGACCGACGGCAUUUUACUGGGAUGCGUCUAGUCCUUGGACCCAAUGGAAAGUGUCAUUAGUGUUGCUUGUCCUCCCCUAUUUGGUUGUAUCGUUGAUCGGAUUAUUCUGCACCUAUUUUGUAGAUCCAGUUUUGCUCUAAAGGUCACCAAUCGGAAAACCACAAGUUGCGGGUAGUGAUAGUAUUAUAAUCAGGGAUUGAACUUAUCAUUUCAUUAUCAUUUAGUAUUCAGCCAAUAACUCAUUCCAGAGGCGGAAUUCCGAAAAGUGUUGUAUGGCGGACUU